rnacentral:piRNA from 1 species
UGGUGAGAGAAGCCCUUUUGUUGCUCCUGC